GAACUUAAGCAUAUCAAUAAGCGGAGGAAAAGAAACCAACAGGGAUUGCCUCAGUAACGGCGAGUGAAGCGGCAACAGCUCAAAUUUGAAAUCUGGCUCUUUUAGGGUCCGAGUUGUAAUUUGUAGAAGAUGCUUUGGGUGUGGCUCCGGUCUAAGUUCCUUGGAACAGGACGUCAUAGAGGGUGAGAAUCCCGUACGUGACUGGGUGCCUUCGCUCGUGUAAAGCUCUUUCAACGAGUCGAGUUGUUUGGGAAUGCAGCUCAAAAUGGGUGGUAAAUUUCAUCUAAAGCUAAAUAUUGGCCAGAGACCGAUAGCGUACAAGUAGAGUGAUCGAAAGAUGAAAAGCACUUUGGAAAGAGAGUUAAACAGUACGUGAAAUUGUUGAAAGGGAAGCGCUUGCAACCAGACUUGCACGUGGGUAAUCAUCUGGGGUUCUCCCCAGUGCACUUGCUCACGUUCAGGCCAACAUCGGUUUGAGUGGUUGGAUAAAGGCCUUGGGAAUGUAGCUUCUUUCGGGGAGUGUUAUAGCCCUCGGUGCAAUGCAGCCUACUCGGACCGAGGACCGCGCUUCGGCUAGGAUGCUGGCGUAAUGGUUGUAAGCGACCCGUCUUGAAACACGGACCAAGGAGUCUAACAUCUAUGCGAGUGUUUGGGUGUCAAACCCAUACGCGUAAUGAAAGUGAACGGAGGUGAGAACCCUUAAGGGUGCAUCAUCGACCGAUCCUGAUGUCUUCGGAUGGAUUUGAGUAAGAGCAUAGCUGUUGGGACCCGAAA
rnacentral:rRNA from 1 species